CCUACGGGAGUCAGCAGUGGGGAAUAUUGGGCAAUGGGCGCAAGCCUGACCCAGCAACGCCGCGUGAAGGAAGACGGCUUUCGGGUUGUAAACUUCUUUUCUCAGGGACGCAGCAAGUGACGGUACCUGCGGAAUAAGCCACGGCUAACUACGUGCCAGCAGCCGCGGUCAUACGUAGGUGGCAAGCGGUAUCCGGAUUUACUGGGUGUAAAGGGCGUGUAGGGGGGAAAGCAAGUCAGAUGUGAAAACCAUGGGGUCAACCUGUGGCCUGCAUUUGAAACUGUUUUUCUUGAGUACUGGAGAGGCAGACGGAAUUCGUGGUGUAGCGGUGAAAUGCGGAGAUAUUAGGAAGAACCCCAGUGGCGAAGGCGGUCUGCUGGAGAGCAACUGACGCUGAAGCGCGAAAGCGUGGGGAGCGAACAGGAUUAGAUACCCGAGUAGUC
rnacentral:rRNA from 1 species